CAGUCGCCGCGGGAAUACGAAGGGUGCAAGCGUUAAUCGGAAUUACUGGGCGUAAAGCGUGUGCAGGCGGUUUGUUAAGACAGAUGUGAAAUCCCCGGGCUCAACCUGGGAACUGCAUUUGUGACUGGCAAGCUAGAGUGUGGCAGAGGGGGGUGGAAUUCCGCGUGUAGCAGUGAAAUGCGUAGAUAUGCGGAGGAACACCGAUGGCGAAGGCAGCCCCCUGGGCCAACACUGACGCUCAUGCACGAAAGCGUGGGGAGCAAACAGGAUUAGAUACCCCAGUAGUCCCUGUCUCUUAUAC
rnacentral:rRNA from 1 species